UUAACGGAGAGUUUGAUUCUGGCUCAGAACGAACGCUGGCGGCGUGGAUAAGACAUGCAAGUCGAGCGGGAUUUUUUCCUGUAGCAAUACAGGGAAAAGUCCAGCGGCGAACGGGUGCGUAACACGUGGGCAAUCUGUCUUAAAGUGGGGGAUAGCUCGGCGAAAGCCGAAUUAAUACCGCAUGUGAUCAGGGGCGACAUCGCUCCGAAAUCAAAGGUGGCGCAAGCUACCGCUUUUUGAGGGGCCCGCGGCCUAUCAGCUUGUUGGUGAGGUAAUGGCUCACCAAGGCUAUGACGGGUAGCUGGUCUGAGAGGACGACCAGUCACACUGGGACUGAGACACGGCCCAGACACCUACGGGUGGCAGCAGUCGAG
rnacentral:rRNA from 1 species